GAAAAAAAAAGCAGAUAAAGUGAUAAACAAAAGAACCUGAUUGAAUACAAACCCUAAUUUGCUCAGCGAAGAACACAAUCGACAGAGAGAAAAGGCUGAAAUCGUCGAUUAGAGCAGAUGAAAAAUCGGGAAAUUGAAAUUCCUCCGAAAUCAAAUCAGAUUCAAAAGAAAAAAGGAUAAAGAAGAAAUCUGCCGAUCGAGCUCAAAGAGAGGAAAUAGGAAAAUAGAAAG
rnacentral:misc_RNA from 1 species